UCCUCUGUAGUUCAGUCGGUAGAACGGCGGACUGUUAAUCCGUAUGUCACUGGUUCGAGUCCAAUCAGAGGAGCCA
rnacentral:tRNA from 1 species